UAUCGAGGAACGCGGACUAAGUACGCCGCGUCCUGCGGCAACGCCCUCAAGCACAAGACGC
rnacentral:sRNA from 1 species